AAGCUAACAAAUGCAAAUAAGAGGUUUCAACAGACACUUCCUUCUCAUGCACCUGGCAACAGCCACAGCACUAUCCCAUCAGGGGAUACUAGGACCCCACAUAUCUUCUGCUGGAGCACCAAAGAGAUAUUCCAGUAUCAGUCAUUUCAGUUUACUCUAGUUUUCAGGAGUUUUAGAAACUUAUUACCACACAACACUACUUAUACCACUGGUAGGUUUCCUCUCGCCUUCUUCAUUUCAGACUAAUUGCGCUCUGAAAUGGAUCUCCAGAGAGAUCAUUCAGGACCUAGGAUCUUGGUUUACUAACUGGAUACUGAAGAUCAUGGAUGAAAGAGAGACAUGAGGACAUGUUUUCUCCAACUGCGAUGCCUCACCUGGUUUAGGUCUGAAUGUUCCAAGAUAAAGAAGAUUACAAGAGAUAAUCUUGUAGAUCUACAGGGAAACAACAAGUCUUUUAUCUACCAUGUGUGGCUUCCUUUCCUCAUCCAGCCUGGCUCGCUUGGAUAUCUCCUUGUCCACCUAACUGGAAGGCUUCUCAUCCCAGGAGCUCUGCUCUGCUCUCUGCUUGGUGUGAAGUACUGUCUGCCUCUCACUCUACCCCUGGAAAGAAGGAUGAGCAGAGCCACGUGAGCAAGAAAACAAGGGAAGUGAAAUGAAAUUAAGAUGUGGUCAGCACCAUCAAAACCUGAAAACCUCACCAGUUAAUGUGAAUUCCUCUCAAGAGACUGGAAAGUAUUCUUCAAGAGCUGCGAGCUGCUUGCCCAAGGACACAAAGAGCGCUGUGAUAGAACUCAGAUGUUAACAUUAUUCUCCUGAGUUGAGUGACCGGAUUGUGCUCAUCAGAACAGCCAGAGAGAAAAUGAAAAGUGAACCCUUAAGUUGCACAUUUGAAGGGCAUACUUUCUUCAGAGUACUGGAGGGGGCAACAAGUUUCCUUACCCUGAAGUGAUUCUGAGGUCACCCUGACUUUUCUGUGUUCUGGGAACACAGAUGUAUUGAAG
ensembl:lncRNA